rnacentral:rRNA from 1 species
GCAAGUCGAGCGGUAACAGAGAUAGCUUGCUAUCUGCUGACGAGCGGCGGACGGGUGAGUAAUGCUUGGGAAUAUGCCUUUAGGUGGGGGACAACAGUUGGAAACGACUGCUAAUACCGCAUGAUGUCUACGGACCAAAGUGGGGGACCUUCGGGCCUCUCGCGUCAAGAUAUGCCUAGGUGGGAUUAGCUAGUUGGUGAGGUAAUGGCUCACCAAGGCGACGAUCCCUAGCUGGUCUGAGAGGAUGAUC